AACGAACGCUGGCGGCAUGCCUAACACAUGCAAGUCGAACGAGAACUCCGGGCCUUGUGGCGCACGGCUACUUACCACGGGGGAACCUACCCUUAAGUUAGCAGUACCUCCCCGUAAGGGGUCCUCAUAACGCAGAAUCUCAUCGCACCAAAGAUUUAUCGCCUUUGGGUGGGGCCGCGUUGGAUUAGCUAGUUGGUAGUGUAAAAGCCUACCAACGCGACGAUGCAUAGCUGGUCGGAGAAGAGGAUCAGCCACGCUGGGCCUGAGACACGGCCCACACUCCUACGGGAGGGAGCAGUGGGGAAUAUUGGAGGAUGGGCGAAAGCCUGAUCCAGCAAUGCGGGGUAAGUGAUGAAGGCCUUAGGGUUGUAAGGCUCUUUUAGCCGGGAUGAUAAUGACAGUACCGGGAGAAUAAGCUCCGGCUAACUCCGUG
rnacentral:rRNA from 1 species